GACGAACGCUGGCGGCGUGCCUAAUACAUGCAAGUCGAGCGAGCUGAAUUCAAAGAUCCCUUCGGGGUGACUUGUUGGACGCGAGCGGCGGAUGGGUGAGUAACACGUGGGCAACCUGCCCUAAAGACUGGGAUACCACUUGGAAACAGGUGCUAAUACCGGAUAACAACAUGAAUCGCAUGAUUCAAGUUUGAAAGGCGGCGUAAGCUGUCACUUUAGGAUGAGCCCGCGGCGCAUUAGCUAGUUGGUGGGUAAAGGCCUACCAAGGCAAUGAUGCGUAGCCGAGUUGAGAGACUGAUCGGCCACAUUGGGACUGAGACACGGCCCAAACUCCUACGGGAGGCAGCAGUAGGGAAUCUUCCACAAUGGACGCAAGUCUGAUGGAGCAACGCCGCGUGAGUG
rnacentral:rRNA from 1 species